rnacentral:ncRNA from 1 species
UAGACAUCCUGCUCAGUACGAGAGGAACCGCAGGGUCAGAGCCCUCGUGUGGGCACUUGGCUGAGGAGCCACCAGCGCGAGGCUACCGUCUGUGGGCGUAUGACUGAAUGCUUUUAAGUCAGAAACCUGCCGAGA